rfam:Triticum aestivum genome assembly, contig: Triticum_aestivum_CS42_TGACv1_scaffold_160392_2DL
GUACUACUCCCUCCGUUCCGAAUUACUUGUCGCACGUAUGGAUGUAUCUAGAUGUAUUUUAGUUCUAGAUACAUCCAUUUCAGUGAUGAGCAAUUUGGGACGGAGGGAGUAAUAA